GCCAGUUGUCGCGCCAGCGGCACGGCUGGUUAGCCACGUUCGGAAGGGAUAAGCGCUGAAAGCAUCUAAGUGCGAAGCUCGCCUCGAGAUGAGAUCUCCCACCGGGUCAACCGGGUAAGGCCCCUCGAAGACCACGAGGUUGAUAGGCCGGAAGUGGAAGCACGGCAACGUGUGGAGCUGACCGGUACUAAUAGGCCGAGGGCUUGACUCU
rnacentral:rRNA from 1 species